CUAACGCGUUAAGUAGACCGCCUGGGGAGUACGGUCGCAAGAUUAAAACUCAAAUGAAUUGACGGGGGCCCGCACAAGCGGUGGAGCAUGUGGUUUAAUUCGAUGCAACGCGAAGAACCUUACCUACUCUUGACAUCCAGAGAAUCUAGCGGAGACGCUGGAGUGCCUUCGGGAACUCUGAGACAGGUGCUGCAUGGCUGUCGUCAGCUCGUGUUGUGAAA
rnacentral:rRNA from 1 species